rnacentral:rRNA from 1 species
UACGUAGGGUGCAAGCGUUGUCCGGAAUUAUUGGGCGUAAAGAGCUUGUAGGCGGUUUGUCGCGUCUGCUGUGAAAUUUCGGGGCUCAACCCCGAACUUGCAGUGGGUACGGGCAGACUAGAGUGUGGUAGGGGAGACUGGAAUUCCUGGUGUAGCGGUGAAAUGCGCAGAUAUCAGGAGGAACACCGAUGGCGAAGCCAGGUCUCUGGGCCAUAACUGACGCUGAGAAGCGAAAGCAUGGGGAGCGAACAGG